UUGUUUCCAUGAGAACAGAUUGCUGAGCAAAUAAGCCAGCUUAUGUGUUACAAGACUGAUCAAUGAACUGGAUUUUUUUGAAGGCAAAAUGUCCUGCAUUGAAUGGGUAGACAGAUUACAAUAAACCAGGCAAGUUCAGGGAUACAUCAAGAGGGCUUUUGUUUCCUUUCAUUGCUUGUGAGGAUUGUAUUAUGACUUAACCAACAUCCUGGUAAGAAGUCAGAGUACAGGGCAGCCCUGGUAGUCUUAUUUGUCAGGAGUGCAUGUCCACUAUUUUUCUUGGCCUAAACGCAUUAUAUGUUGGAGAUGGAAUACUUUUAUGUGUUUAUAUUAAACUACACUAAUGAAUAGCUGGCUGGAACUUAACAUAAUUAUUCAAAACGCUGGAUGGACCUCUACUUUUGGAAAACAAUUAUUGCAUCUUAGAUGUGGGAAAAACUGAAUGACAAUUUUUUUCUCAAUGAAUGUUUUUUUUCCAGUUGCACUUGACUUUUUUCUUCUCUUGGAUGGAUGGUAUUUUGCCUUGUGGAUCAGCAGGAAAAUGUUUAAAGCUAAGAAUGUUUAUUUUCCAAGCCUUUUUUUGGACUUUCUCCCAGAAGCGAUCUCAUGAGAGUGACCAAGAACACACUGGACAGCAGGUGAGAGUUAAGCCUGAUCUGCUGUCAUACAUGACACCGGUUCUAUGAAGACAUGUGACAUUGAAAUGAAAACAUGAGACUGUGUGAAGGUCCUUUACCAGCUUCUGGAGAUAUGGCCCACCAUUGUCCAUGCAUUAUUUUCCAUCACCAGCUCUCUCAUCACUCCUGUGGUAGUCAUGUUCCCGAGAUUGACUGCAACUUUCCUGUGAUGAUUUGUUAAGAAGAGAAACACAUUAGAAGCAGAGUGAGAGAUGCAGGCUGAAGCUGUUAUAAAUUUGGACUUCUUACUCAACAAGUAGCCUUAAAGUAGUGCUAUCCAGGAUUGUAUUUCACAGUCCUUUCAUGCAUUUCAGGCUGUAUUUGCACAACGCUAGAAAUAUAUUUAUAAUGUGAACUGAGGAAGUUCAGGGGGUGUUAGACUGGCAACAGGUAACUUUUAGAGAUGAAAAGGGAUAGAGAUAAUGAUUGCACACCGCUAAUAUCAAGGAUUACAGUUCAAGAAAAAGAGAAGUAGGAGUGGGGAGAAAGAGAAAGGAAAGGAUUUAUUUCUGAAACAAACCAUAAAUAACUGACCUAAACAUUAAUCAGUCUUGGAUCCUCUCCAGGUGUUUUGAGAAGAUUCAGGUUUUCCUUUUCCUGAAGUUUUUUUUUAGGCUAGAAAGAUUUGAGUCUUAGAGAAGCAUUUCUGACAGGAAUACAUUUUGUGUUUGACAUCCAGAUAGCUUUAUUGACAGCUGGAGAUUCUGAAUCUAAAUUUUCAUUUUCAGUGUUAUGUAUGUUGUUUAGCUAGAGAGUGAAAAAGUAUGUUUUCAUAUUAUCUAUAUAUGGAUUAUUAUCUAUAUAUGGAUAUGCUGGUUAUACAGUGAAAGUGAUAGAACUGACUGUAAUUCUGAAAAAUAAGUGCUCUGAAAUGUCAUGCUGACAGAUGAAGUUAAGGUCUGCUCUCCUAAAAUCCAUGGCUGCUGUCCUUCAUUUUGCCUUGGUCCCUCCCCUUAGGAUCUUGAAAUCUACCACUGCGCUGAUCACUGCAUCAAAGCUGGUGUAGACUUUCACACCCACAAACAGCCCUUCCUUUUGCCAGACUAGCAGAGCACCUUCUCUCCUCCAUCACCUGUAUUGAAUCCUCUGUCACCUAUACCACAAAGACUAUCUCUGACUCCUGUAUCACAAAGUUGCUAUCAGUGGUCUCUAUAAAUCUCCUAGGUUUUUGUGCCCCAUUUUUUUUGUGGGCAUAUUCUGUAUUCCAGUGCAUAUGAGGUGGUUAAAUAUCACUGGUUAUUUACAGAGCACAGCAUGAAAAAUGAUACUGGAUACAAGUGAAUUCAAUGAUCAUGAUGAUUGCCGUUAUUUUCAUACAAAGUAAAGAGUGCACACAAAUUAUAAUGAUACUAGAUACUGUAUGAGUUUAUGGAAAAUUGAUUUCACUAAACUAGCUGUAUGUAAUUUUAUAAAAUGCUAAGUAUUAUAAAUGCUAAGCAUUAAAUUUGUUUAUAUUUUCUUAACAUAAUAGUAAUUAAAUAUAUCUAAUGAAUUUUGGUUACUGUACAAUGUUUUAAUUAAGAAUUGGAAAUGGUAAGAAAGAAAAAUAGCACAUAUGAAGUGGACUGAAUGUGGAUUGGAGAAUAUAUCCCAAAACAGAAUGAGCAAAGAGCCAUUAACUAUUUACAUCAAUGGGAAUGCUGUGGUCUUAUAUUCCUUUUCUUCAAAUCACUGACAUCAAACCUUUACUGAUAAAUGUGAAUGUGUUACAAAAUGGGAAGUUUCAUUAUUUAAGAGGACACAGUACUUGUGCAAUGCUAUU